ACUUUCCCAGGUGUUAGAACACUGAAUUUUGUUCUAUAUUUUGGUGAAGAAUCUUUCUGAAAUUUACUAAAUUACUGCUCUCUACUCUCAUUCCUCUGAUUCUCAAAUGGCAUCCCAAGGAUCAUUGGAGGUGCUGCCAGAGGAGUUUCCUACUAGGAUCAAUUACCGUCCUAAUGGCAAGCCCCAGAUUGUAAUUGAACACUACAUGCCUGAACUGGAAGCUUAUAUGCCAAGAGAUGCUGAACCGAUUGAUUUAAAUGUGCUACGAGAAAUCAAUGAUCGAUUGACAGCUAUGCUAGAAGAUGUGAGAUUGAUGAAGAAACGACUCACACGUAUCAUGAUUUUGCAGUUGCUAUGCCUCUUUGUUGCAUUUUCAGGUCUUUUUGUGAAGUUGA